GAAGGGCUUCCAACGGCCAAUUGGAAGGGAGAAUCGAAACGGAAACAGUUAUCCGAAACACAACUUGUUUACUUGUUUCCACCUAAUAAAAAGUGGUUAAAACCUGGCCAAAAACGAAAACAGCUGCCGUCAUCGAUAGCAUAAAGCAACAAAUAAGAUAAAACGAAAACAACAAAUUGCAUUAAAAUAAGCAUUUGCAAUCACGGGAUGAUUCAACGUUUUUUUGCCACACAAGACACAGAUCUUGAAUGGGAAUCUUAUUUUGGCGUCCGCUCAUUCCAAGGGAUUAAAUCUCACCUGCGAUUGUUCUCCGGCGGCAGAACACUCCAG